rnacentral:rRNA from 1 species
AGUUCGGAUCGGAGUCUGCAACCCGACUCCGUGAAGCUGGAUUCGCUAGUAAUCGCGCAUCAGCCAUGGCGCGGUGAAUACGUUCCCGGGCCUUGUACACACCGCCCGUCACACCAUGGGAGUCGGAAAUGCCCGAAGCCAGUGACCCAACUGAAAGGAGGGAGCUGUCGAAGGCAGGUCUGAUAACUGGGGUAAAGUCGUAACAAGGUAUC